rnacentral:rRNA from 1 species
AACGAACGCUGGCGGCGUGCCUAAUACAUGCAAGUCGAACGUUAGAUGUAGCAAUACAUCGAAAGUGGCGAACGGGUGAGUAACACGUAAGUAAUCUGCCUUUAAGAUUGGGAUAACCUUGCCAACGCGGGGCUAAUACCGGAUGUGAUUAACAGAACGCAUGUUUUGUUAAUUAAAGGAGUAAUCCGCUUAAAGAUGAACUUGCGGCCCAUUAGUUAGUUGGCGGGGUAACGGCCCACCAAGACCGCGAUGGGUAGCCGGCCUGAGAGGGUGUACGGCCACAUUGGGACUGAGAUACGGCCCAGACUCCUACGGGAGGCAGCAGUAGGGAAUUUUGCGCAAUGGACGAAAGUCUGACGCAGCAACGCCGCGUGAGGGAUGAAGGUCUUCGGAUUGUAAACCUCUGUUGAAUGGGAAAAAAGUAGCAAUAUUUGAUGGUACCAUUUGAGGAAGCACCGGCUAACUACGUG